CGCCCCUCCGCGCCUGCACCUGUCUCAGCGCCCGGCAGCGCGGCGGUUUGUGGCAGCCUUCCCCCCCCCCCCCCGGGAAAGAGGGAGAGCCAGCGGGGCCGCUCUCGGAGGUUUUCACGACAGUUCUGUUACCCUGCUGCUGCAGCCAAUGCAGAUCCGAAUGCCGUGGCUACAAAGGCUUGUUACUUUCUCAUGCUGGAUCCCUCAAAUCCAAGAGCUACUUGGCAGUUUCCAAGGCAACCACCUGUGGAAUAAUUAAAAAGGUUGAAGUGUUAGUAUGCCAGAUAGAAGGAAUUCUUGCCUGGAGAGAGCACUUCAUUUUCAUCUGUCUUGAAGAAUCAAAUGUGUUUCUGCCAGCAAAGUUAAGAAGAAGAAAUGGUGACUGAGUUGUACAAGUGAACCAGGACAAUCCAAAAAGGACAGGUGCAGGAAGCUACUACAGGAGAGGAGGUUUACUAACUUUUUCAAGACUUGGGAUUACACAAAGGAGCAGUAUAUUUUAGACGCUACGGAGAAAGUUCAGAACAACAUGGUCAAAAGGAAGCUGCAUCUUCACACUGGUGCAUGUGGAAUUCUGCAUGUCCUGCCUGACACCACCAUCCCACAGCCUGUUUAGAGCUCUUCUGCUGGCUCCUGCUUUACCCUUGGACUUCGGUGUGCAGGUGUAUGUACAUACUGUGUUCAGAUGACUAUCAGCUUUUACUGAUACAUAGCACAUACUUAGUUACGCAGUCUUCACUUUGUUUCAUUCUCUUAACCUUCACAGUUGCUAUGGUAGACAAUUGUGGGGAUAAACUUGAGUAAAUUUCCUUGGCCAGUAUUAAAACCACAAAGAAAUCUAAAGUAGUUCUGUGAAAAAGGAAUUUCUUGAUGAAACUAUUUGCAAGGGACUGAAAGGGGAGUACAAAAUGAAAACCCAGUCCAACUGCAGGGAAAUGGCUGUAGGGACACUAUCACGGGCUGGCAGCUGCCGUGUUCCUGCACGUGUCAUCUCAGACCUGUUUUAACCACAAAGCAGUUAAUGUAGAAUGGUCAGCACUGCUGAGCAGGGAACGGGCCUUGCUAGCAGAUGCUUACUGCUAUUUAUGUUGUGCGUUAUCUCAGUAAGUUUUGCAUCUGUCUUUGUUACAAUUUUGUUUGCUGCCUUCAGGUUCCCCUUUUCUCAUCAUGUCUAAUAAAUUAAAAUUGAAUUUGCAAAAUAUUAUAAAGCAACACUAGGAUGUGCCUGUUAACAGAGUAGAAUAAACUAAUUACACUCCGUGAACUAACUGAACUCAUUUACUAAUUGAUGAAUUAAUUUAAUCAUGUCUUACAAAUAAGAGAACUCGAAUGCUGACAGAAUAGAGAGCUAACUCUCUUCUGCACUAAAUCAUUAGGGUUCCUUUGGUUUUAGUUUUCCUUAGUCUAGUAAUGGCCACAUUUUUAGAAGUAGGAAGUUAGACCAGCCAUUUGCAAUUUGGGAUUCUCCUUUGUGAUUCUGUCCUACACCACUUCCAGGCUGAUGUCUGACUCUUGAAUUCAUUGGAAACUUUGAAGUUUCUAGUUGCUUUUUCUUAGCCAAAUAUUAGCACUAGUUCUUCAUCCUUACCUUUUUUCACUGGUCAAGCAUUCAACACCAUCAAUCAUGUUGUCCAGCUCAAGAUUCUAUCCUGACUGGAUGUCUGUAAUUCUGGGGGUUUUGUGAGCUUUCUUAAUCACAUUCUUAAUAUACACAAUGACAUUCUCUCUGUGCACAUUCGGCAUCUUCUGUCUUCCAGAUUUCCCCUGGAAACAUAUACUUGACUACUGUCUCUGUGCAGUCAAGUUCCAGAUCUGCACCUCUGUGCAUCACUUUAUUUCUCUUCUGAGAUGUUUGCCUGACUUGUGCACAAGUGAAUUGAUAGCAAUCAGCUGCAGCUCAGUACAGUUUCAACAGAAAGGAGCUUCUCCCCUGCCAACCCUCUGUAAAUGCCACAAAAAUACCUUUUUAUUUAAGCCUUUAUUUUAAAGCUAUACCUUCCUAUGAUGCCUAGAGUAGACAGGCCAUCAUGCUGUUAAUCUGCUUUUAUAUCGGGUUUUAUUGUCUCGUUAUUCCUCAUGCUUCCUUUUUUUUCAUGUCUCUUCACUCUUCCUUGCCUCAGGCAGUAAACUAGAAACGAAACUCCUUUUAUUCUGUUUUAUAUGAAGCUCCUAGAUCAGUGUGUCUUGGUCCAUGACAGGACUCUGCCCUGCUACAGCUGCUUUACGGUGUGUCCAUUGGAAAUCACUGGGAAGGUAAAUGUCUACAUAGCUGCAGAAUCUACACAAACUGAGUUUCUCAGGUCCCACAGAAAAUCAGACUAGAAACAGAGCUUCAGCCUUCCUUAUUUUAAUGCUCAAAUUACAAGAUACUGACCUCGUUUAUAGCUUCAAAAGAUGGAGCCAGUUAUGGGGAGGAGACUAGUAAGAUCACAAGUAAGUUGCAGCAAAAUGGAUACAUGUAUGUUAUCUUUUUCUGAUAGAUAGGGACAUAUUUUUCUAAUGCCACUCAAGUUGUUCAAUAGCUGUGGUAGAUUAAAGCAAAAACUCCCCCGCAAAACAAAACUAUUUUCAAAAUCCAACAGCUGCUUUUCCCCAUCUCUUGCUUGGCUGUGUUUAAUAUGUGGAGCAUUAUGUCGUGGUCCUCUAAUCAGUUCUAUAAUUUUCAUGGUGUAUGCCAGCAUCAGUAUUUAUUAUUGAAGCACCAUGUCUGUUUUUAUCCUGAUGAUGUAUUUUGUCCUGCAGCAGUAGUCAAAUACAUGAACUGAGUAGUAAAAAGGGGUUCAGGAGUAAGGAUCAGUAAAUACUCAAAGCUGUGCGUGGUUGGGCAGACGUAAUCAAUUCCAGCACUGCCAGAUGUUUGCCAGUUGAUCCAGUUGACGGAGAAUCAUCCUUGUUCAGCAUGCAGUGAAGAUCCCUCUCAUUUCCUGGCUCUUCCAGUCUGUAGCACAACUUAGAGGCCACUGGAUCAGUCCCUAAAAUCUUCAGGUAAACCUGUCAUCCCUCUCUCUUCAAAGCCAGAAGAAACAAGCUCUUUAAUUAGGUGACAUACCCUGGCCUAACCAAGAAGAUGCAGAAAUGGAGGGGAAUGUUAAACCGCCGGGUGGUUGUGUUUCUUUUGCCGGUCGAGGAGAUGGGCAGUUCCUGGAGGGUCUGCACGGCUCAUGGCUCUGGGACGCCAACCCUGGCAGCAGCCCUGGGGAGCUGCUGCCGUGGCCUCCCCUGCAGCGGUGGCAAGUAUCGACCGGCUGUGUUCCUGUAACGCUCUUUCAUUCUGUAAUAAAAUCAGGUGAUCCGAAACGGAACCAAACUGGUAAAAAAGUACCGUAAGCGUGUGACCUUUUUCUCCUUUUAUAAGGGGAAGCUGAAGUGGAAAUGCAAACAUGCAUUUAAAUAAACCAUUUUAUAAAUUCCAGGUGCUGAUCUCAUGAGAGCACCUUGCAUAUGCCAAAGGAAGAACAUGUUGUUUGAGGGAAAACCUAUUUAUAAAUAUGUGCAAACUGAAAGACUCUGAGGACAAACCUGUCAAUAAUGAAUUGUUCCAGAAAUAUAUGGAGAAAAUUGUACAUGGUGGAGGCUGUUUUUUCUGAGGCUGAAACUCAUCUCAACUCCUCAUGACCAGCUGAGCAAGGGAGAUGUGAUUUGAUGCUAUCCAAGGUGUAAUUCCACAGUUCAUGUCUUUCGCUAGUGCCAGUUUAAUAAGUUUCUGCCUACUCCCAGCCAUUCAUUUCCAGCUCAGCAGCAAUGCAGUGCCAUCUCUUUCCUGACCGUGUGGAAAAGCAGAUGACUGAAAAUAUCUGUCAAGAAAAGAAACACUUUUUUUUUCUUUGAAUUAGAAUCAUUUGAGUGACUUGUCUACAGCAUGGCCCGUGGGCAGUUGUAUGGGUACAACUGAAGGUGACAUGAACUGCAGCAUCAGAGGCAGCAGGGAGUGCUGGAGGGUGUCCCAAUGUUAAGUGAUCUUGCUGUCAACAAAAAUCUGCUCUGGGACCAUAUCCUGGAUGAAGGGGUUUCACUAGCCACAGUAUUCUUUGUUGAACUGCUGCUUUUCAUUUUAUUUUAUUUCAUUAAGAAAGAUUAACAUCUUCUUGCUUGGGCGGGUUUUUUUCUUAAGGAGAUAAACCAUCUCUGUGAGAAGUCAGUCAGCUUUGUGGACAGCCAUGAAUGUCAAUAAAGUCUUGGCAAACACAGUAGGUA